CGGGUGUAGCUCAGUGGUAGAGCACCAGCCUUCCAAGCUAGUAACGUGAGUUCGAUCCUCAUCACCC
rnacentral:tRNA from 1 species